GCAACUCGACCACACGAAGCUGGAAUCGCUAGUAAUCGCGAAUCAGCAUGUCGCGGUGAAUACGUUCCCGGGGUCUUGUACACACCGCCCGUCACACCAUGGGAGUCAGCAACGCCCGAAGUCAGUGACCUAACCGAGAGGAAGGAGCUGUCGAAGGUGGGACCGGUGACUGGGGUGAAGUCGUAACAAGGUAGC
rnacentral:rRNA from 1 species